UUCACCUCAGGAAACAUGUGUUAGUCAGUUGCAACAGUUUUGGCAUAUAAUAGCGUAUAAAGUGAUGAGCAAAAACCUGCUUAAUAGCUUGUUGCUUCACAUUUGGAACGCAAUACAGCAGCAAUUCUGUGUGGCAUGGAUUCGUCAAGUCUUUGGUGCGGAGUUGGCGCCCGACAGCGUCCCAGGAAGGCUCCACUGGGUUCGGAUCAGGAGAAUUUGGUGGCCAAAACAUCAACACGCAUAGUCUGACAGCUUUAGACCUGAGCUGUCACAGUGUGCCAAAUUUCAUGCUUAUAGCAAGUGCAGGCCGUGCGCAGGGCAAGGCCCGGCCUGUCACUCAGUUUUGCUCAGUCCAUCUUGGAAAUACCCUGUACAGUGCGACAUUUCCUUCAGCAUUGCAGUGUGGCAUUUUGCAGUUGGCACAACUCUCCGAGUCUGGCAGAAUCGUGGUGUCUGCGCUGUUUACCUUUUGCUAUUUGCUCGUGGUGUGAAGGACAUUCACAGGUCCAGUGGCUGUUCACACAAAAAGAGGCAGUACGAUCCAUUAAAAUAAAUGAGAAUGACACAAGAGAGGGAUGAAAAUUCUCAAUUUGCAUAACCGAAGGGUACUGCUUAUUUGCUAUGAAACGACAUUAUGGUUCCAUGUAGAAAGAAUUUAAACUUUUAGGUGACAAUGAAAGAGCAAAAAAUUACAACGAUCAACAGACAGGAUUCAUUGUUCCAUACAUCAAGAAGUACUUUGUCCUAAAUCAGCAGGCAAGCAGCAACUGAAAAAACUAGUGGUACAAAUGGCAAAAUUUUUGAAGUCACAACCAUUAUUCCAUUUUCAAAUGCAACAGUUUCCAGUGGAAAUGAACAAAGAAUAUGGAUGAUGAUGAUGUUUGGUUUGUGGGGCGCUCAACUGCGCAGUUAUCAGUGCCCGUACAUUUUCCCAACCUUUGCUCGGCCCAAUCUCGCCACUUUCAUGAAUGAUGAUGAAAUGAUGAGGACAACACAAACACCCAGUCAUCUCGAGGCGGGUGAAAAUCCCUGACCCCGCAAGGAAUCGAACCCGGGACCCUGUGCUGAGGGAAGAAUAUGGAGACUUCAUAUAUUACUGCAAAGUGAGUUGGUUAAGCCAAGGGGAUUGCUUAGAACAAUUUUUCAAUUUAAAUCUUGCUGUUUUUGAAUUUAUGAAGGGAAAAGGAGUGUAGGGACAAACAUUAGAACAUCAGGAUUGGAUUGCAGACUUCCAAUUUUAAGUGGACUUGACUGCACACUGCCCGCAGUAAGACAUUGCAAGGUAAUCUCUUUCUGAUUUGAUGGGAAUGCCUUUAAAAAAAAAAUCCCAUUGUAAAAGGGACACAUUUUGGCAAAGACAAUCCAGUUCCCUAAGCUCACUGCCAUUAAGAAAGUGCGAGGUUUCUAGAAUUCACUGUGGUCUUGCAAGAAUUAUGAUACUUUUAUAAAGGCUUCGAGGACAUUGUCAAUCUUCAUCUAUUUUCAAGCUCUUUUCGAGACUGUUUGCUAUUUCAGUUGAAAGCGUCCCUGUGCAUUUGCAAAUGUAACUGACUGACAUGCAAAAUAAUUCUACUUUUAAUUAGAAAUCUUUUUACAUUAAAAUUGUCCAGGACAUCUACAUUGCUUUCUCAGGCAGAUCUUUCUAGUUUCCAUAAUGAGGCUGCAAAAGACCUACAAUAUUUCAACUGACAUAUUUGUGUGAAAGAUUGUUUUCAAUUAUGAAACUAAAUAGGUCAUG